GCUGUGGGACUUCCAGGAGUCCGAGUCCCAUGCUCUGCCUCUGAGGCUGGUGGCUGGGGUAAAGCUGGGCAGGGCUGAGCCAGGCAGGGCUGUACUCAGGCUCCCCAAUGGUAGGUACAAGCAACGGCCAUAACAUGGAUCAGAAGGCAGUGCUCAGGCCACUGGGGCAAUGCUUCAAGGAGGAGCAUAACAACUUAUUUUGUGCCAAAGAGUCAGCAUGGGAAAAGAGAAGCAGUUUGUGUUCCACAACCUAGCAGAUGGUAGUGACACCUGCCUCACUCCCACACCCUUGACCCAGCAAGGCUCCCUCCCAUAACCCACUCCUGGCAGCAAGCUGAAACAGUAAGUCAAGACACAAGCAAUCUGUCUUCAGAUUACAAAACUGUCCUAUGCCACAAAACUCCCUGCCAGGGACAAAAACUUGGACUCCCAGGCCACACCCCUCCGACUCCAGUCCUGCAUCCUGCAGUGGGACUGCCCAACGCUUAUGCCCGUGUUUCAAACCCAUGCUACACUCAUCUCUCAGAUCUGGCCAUGGGGCUCUUCCUCCUCUUAAGACUAGAUUGCAAAUCUCAUUCUUGAGAUUCUCUAAACCGAUGACUAAUGCUUGUUCUGGAUGACAGAUUUCCGCACAGCCCCCUAUGAGUUAAGAUCAGGAAUGAUCUCCUAUUAGCAUCAAGGUCUGGGAGCAUGUGCAAAGUACUUCCUGCUGCCUCUUCUCACAGUCUCUUCACUGAUCCCAGAAUUGUAUCAGUUGGAAGAGUCAAGGAGCUCCUCUGUGGCCUGGAUUGCCUGACUCCCAAGUGGAAAUGUAUACUGUGAAGAUACUCUUCCCCUCUCAGGAACUUGGAACUCACAGUUUUCCGUCAGACCCACAGUGUGGUCUGCUGCCCACCAUAUUUUUCAAAGUAUCCAAAGUUUGUUUCAUUUUUAUGUUGAGCUUCCUAUUCUUUCCUUGAUCACAAUGUGAAUCUCUGCACACUAUUUUGCUAUUUCCAAGUGAAUGAGGUUCGCUAACAAAGCCUCUAUGCCUCCAUCUUGGAGAAAAAAAAGCUAAGUAUCGAUAUAUUUUGUUUUCAUUUUUAUUUACUUCAAAAUUUUAAAUUUUUACUGAGACUUCUAUUUUGACCUCUCACUUAUUUAGAAAUGUGUCAAUUUUCAGAUAUUUGGAGCUAUCUCAGUUAUCUACAUGUUACUGACUUCUAUUUGAACUUCAUUGUAGUAUGAGAACAUACUUUGUAUUAAUUCUAUUAUUUUAUAUUUUUAAGAUGUCUUUUAUGGCCCAAAUGUGGUCAACCUUGAAGAACGUUCCAUGUGAUCAUGAAAAAAAUAUAUAUAUAUUCUGCCAUUGUGGAUGUACUUUGCUAAACAUGUCAACUAGAUAAGUUAGUGAUAGAGAUGUUCAGUUUAAAUAUAUUUUCAUUUUCUGCUUGUUGCAUCUGUCAAUUACUAAUGGGUAAGUGCUGAAAUCUACAGGUAUAAUAGUGCCUCUGUUAGCCUAUUUCUCCUUCAGUUUUAUCAAUAUUACUGCAUGUAUUUUAAUGUUCUCUUGUAUGAGGCAUACACAUUUAGGAUUGUUAUGUCUUUUUGGAAAAUUAACCCUUUUAUCAUUAGAUAAAGCUCUGUAGCCCUAAUAAUCUCUAUCUUUCCUGAUGUCUGCUUUGUCUGAAAUUAAUGUAGCUCCUUUGCUUUCUUUUGAUUAGCACUUUGUGUGUUUAUCUUUUUACUUUUAACCCAGAUGUAUCUUUAUAUAUUUAAAAUGGGUUUCUUGUAAGUGACAUAUAGCUAGGUUUGGUUUUGUUAUCCUCUUCAACAAUUUCUAUCUUUAACUGGUAUAUUUAGAACAUUAACAUCUAAAGAGAUUAUUGAGUGAUAUAGUUGGAUAACUAUCUACUAUGUUUAUAACUGUAUUCUAUUUCUUGUAGUUUUUUCCUAGUUUAUUUUUUCCUUCCAAUUUUUCUGAAUUCUGUGAUUUUAACUGACCAUGUAUAAUAUUUAAUUUAUAUCAUAUAUUAGUGUAUUAAUUGUACUUCUUUUUUUAAAAAAAAAAAUGAUCACUGUAGAAUUUACCAAAUAAAAUGUAAGUUAAUCUGUCUUUACCUCAAACAA
rnacentral:lncRNA from 1 species